UUUACUUUUUCAUCCCGGUCAGAAACAAGUAAUUUCAGUUGCAGCAGUGAAGUAACAAGCCAGUUUAUCAAAAACCGAAGUCUAAGUGUAGUUUUAUUGAGACCAAGCAUAUCAACAUGAUCAAUAUUUCGACAUACUAUCUCCGGUUCCCUCCUGCCCCACUCCUGUGCAUCACCAUAUUCUUCGUCGCUACUGACCUCUUCAUCAUCUAAGCUAGUUGCAGAUAUGUCCCCUGUCUCCAAGGUCUCUCUUAGGUGCUCUUUAUGAUUGUCUUCCAUGCUAAACGACACUCUUCUUCCUCUGCCAUUGUGCUCAUCAUCUUCCAAACCAAUUAAUCUACUACCACCAAAGCGAUUUCCUUCUCUCCGACCCAACAGCCUAAACUCGCCUUCAGUUUCCCUUCUUAUAGCACUCUCUUUUAUAUCAGAACAUAUUCCAGAGGUAGAGCCAUUUUCUAAGCUUUGAUGUCGAGCAAGAGAAGCUGAAUUAUUGAGCCAAGACCCUCUCGGAGCAACAGAUCCAUUUUGACCUGCUUUACUGGUUCCAGGUUCUUCCAUUAUCUCACUGACAUGCGGACGAUCAGACCCAUUUCCAUUAGACGAAUAAUGAUGAACAUCUUCAACAGACUCUUCUUCAGGGACCUCUUUGACACGAUCUAGUUCUUGUGACAUUAGGACAGCAGCAUCAAAUGAUAGAACACGGUGAUCAUCAUGAGAACCUAUGUUAACCUCUCUGUCAUCAUACAUAGGACUGCCAUACAUUUUGGAAGAAGGUUUUGGAGACUGUUGCUUCUGGUUCUUCCUCCCAUUGAACCAGAAUGAUGGCAGGGGAGAAGCUAUCUUUUGUUUAUUUGAUUGACCUGCAUAGUCUGACCCCAUUGGACUCUGACCCAGAUCUAUCCAAAAUGAGUUGUCAGAUGACUCGUCUUCGCUGAAGACAGGGCUCUUUAUCACUUCUCCAACAGAUAUACUUCCAGUUUCUUCAAAUAUAGUGCUAGUUCCAUCUCUUUCAGAGCUGUCAUGGUCCAUUUCAGUAUCAAAUACAUCUCUGACUUGUGCAGACGUGUAUGCACCCGAGAAGGCAGGCAACUGUGAUCCCUGGUGGCGAGGUUCAAAAGUCUUAUCACCAACCCCAUCGAAUUCAUCAUCUUCAGUACCAGCCAGUCUGUCCAAACCAUCCACAGAGUCACUCAAAUACACUGGAAACUCGGGGGUAAUCUUCACCAUUCCUGACCCGGUACUCCCAGACUGAUUUUGAAGGCUUGCCAUCACCGAUUUCUUGAUAAGUAGACAUCCAAAGCCUGUGGGAUCAUACCCAAAUACCCUGUAAAACGAUGUAAUUAUGAAAUCUGGCCUGAAAAGGGACAAGCCAAGUGAAUCCAUGUCCUUGGGGCCCAAUGACCCAGCAUCAAGCAAGACAUGCCAGUUGUUCUGCUGUGCCAACGCCAUCCACUGGUACGAAUACUUAGCCCCAGUUACUCUAGACUGAACAGGGAACACAAAAAGACCAGUAGCUGAAUCCUUCUUCCUCUUCUUCUUAUUUGAAAUUUGUUUUCUCAAAUCAGUCGAGCAAAGUUUGAGAGUUGGCCAUUUAAACCAUGCACUGUGCACUUUGGCACCUUUAUUCCUAGCACACUGAGCCAUCCAAUUAACAGACUGGCUGUCAUGGUCGAACAUGGUCAACAGUUUUUUGUUCGUUUGGAAGGGAUAUGAUUCAGCCAGCAAUUUAAAAGCCGACCCUCUGCUAACGGUAAAAACAAGGCCAUAUUCAUUCUCAGGAAUAUUUAGAUAGUCCAUAAUUUUGGCCUUUAUAUCAUGUUCAACAGUUCCUUUUUCAGCACCACCAUAAAGUGCAUGGUUACUCAAAUUUGCAGUUAUCUCAGACAAGCUAAAUGUACAAGACUCCCAAUAGUGAAGGGUCUGAAUAAAAGAGAAGAGACCGAAUCCACAAUAAUCAAGGCAUACCUUGGGUGGCAAAUGAGAAUAUUCAUCAGACCUCAACUGAUCAACUUUCUCCGAGGACAGAUACUUGGGAUACAUAGUGAGGAACAUGGAAAAUGCUUCUUCGAGGCUGAGGAGGUCUUCCUCGGACUCAAACGUCCGUUCAGCUGCAAGGGAAGUGGCGCGAAGAAACUCACGCUGCGCAUUCAGCCUGGCCAGCGAUCUGGAUCUCCCAAUGCUGGCAUCUUGGUUCCCAACAUUGUCAGGUUCCAUAUCUUGCGAUUUAGAGAGUACUCCGUCUUCUGAAGCUUCUUCAAGAGCUUCCCUCAGCUUGUUCUCUUGCAGCUUCCGGAGCAUUGAUGGGUUUCUUUUGAGGUCAGCCGUCGAUUCACCUUUCCUCCUACCCUUCUUGUCCAAGAACAGAGAAGCACAGUGAGAAAUAGGCUUCCAUAGUGAGAGAUGCAUUAUAGCUUCCUCUUAUACUCACACAAAUCAAUCUGAGCCUUAUUGUAUCACUACAAACAACACACAAACAAAAUAGUUUACCCCAUCAAUCUGCAACAAAUAAGAACCAAACAUUAAGGUUCACCCAAAAGCAAAUGAAAGCUACUAGAAUAUAACGAAUCUAGAAUCUUAAGACAACAAAAAACAAGAUAAAAAACAAGUGACUCACCUCAACACCAUUUUUCCAUGUCAAAAACCAACAAAGACAAACAAAAAGGUUAAAUUUGUUUUGUUUUCUCUAGCACCCAGAAUAGGUUUUUUCAACUUCUAAUUUCAAGGAGAGAGAAAGUCAAACUCUUCAAACCCUAGAGAACCCAGAUCCCAAAAUUUGCAAAACAGCUCACAGGUUCAUGAAACUCAACCAAAAACAAGAAAAGAUUGAAUUUUAAAAAAUGGGUAUGGAGCAGAUGAAUCAAACAACGGUAACAGAAACCUUAAACCACAAAAUCAGUGGUCAAAUACAACUCCAAAAAAAAAAACAUCAAAGAAGAAGAAGAAAGACCCUCUUCACUCUCUCUCUCUCUCUCUCUCUCUCUCUCUCUCCCUCUAAUAAAAGCAACGAGCCCCACAAGAAAGACACACCGGUAUGAAUGAUAUCUUCAGUGUACGAAUUUCUUCUUUCUUACAAAUUUAAAAUCCAAAGGAAAAAGAAGAAAUAAAAGAAAAGCAGAGAAAAGAAAAAGGAGACAAAUUUCAAUUUCAAUUCAACACUCUCUCUCUCUUUGUUCAACCAAAAUCUCUCAUUUUUGGAAAAACGAACCUUCAGAUUAACAGCAACUAGGGAGAAGGGACAGAGACAUUGACUCUCACAAAAACCAAAUUUGUUGGUGUUAUUAAAAUCAAUUUUCUGAUUUUGGUAACAUUUUUUAAGAAUUUGUGUUUCUUUGUCCAAGUUUGUGGUGGGACCCAGAAGAUGAGGUCAUCAGUUAAAGUCAAAUAAUAAGCUGGCUUGUAAAAAGCUGAUUAUAUUGGUGCACAACUUGGCAAACCACAAAGUCCAAACACCCCAAUGCAAAAGAGUUAAAAUCUUCUAUUUACUAUACUAAUACCUCAAAUUCGUCCUUGAAUUUUGAAAAAUCGGUCAAUUUCGUCCCUGAAUUUUACGAAAUAUCAAAUUAGUCCCUGAAUUUAUAAAAUGUCAAUCAAAUCAGUCACUCCGUUAAGUUGGUCUGUUAACGGAGGUGACGUGUAACGUUAACCUCUGACAAAGCUUACCACGUCAGAUGUCAAGCAAGCAGGGACCAAACUGAUUGAUUUACACAAAAUUUUCAAGGACCAAAUUGAUGGAUUUUCAUAAAAUUGGCAACGGCUCUUUCCCUUCUUUGUGAGUAACGGUUAUUUCUCCUCUUCCUCAUUAAGGGCUAUUUCUUCCCCAAAUAUAUAAAUUUGGAACCAUAAUGUUAUAAUUCCUUACAUAGAGUUCAAAAUCCCCAAAAUUUCUUCCAUGAAUUGAUGUCAAAUUUCUUCCCCAAUUCAAAAAACUUAGAACCCUAAUUUUUUUGAUUAAAUUCGAAAUUCAUAAAUCAAGUGGUCUGCCUUGUAGAUUCGGUGUUCAGAAUUGAUGGGUGGUGCGCGAAUGGGCAAAAACAACUACAACAACCAGUAUUCAUCUUCAAGCUCUAGGUGUAUUUUGGAGGACAAGGUUGAUGGAUAAAGUUGAUUGUGUAGGAAGUGAGCUUAGGUUGAUUAAGAUAUUGAUAGAAGUAUUUUGUUUGAUUGAGUUGUUUAAAAUGAUAUUGUAUUGUGCCAAGUCUAUGUAAUGUUGUAAUGAAAAGAGGUUGUCAAUGAAUGAACCAAACCUUUCUGUCAAAAUAUUUCAAUCAAAUUGGUCAUUGAAUUAUAUACAUAUCCAUCAUAUCGAUCCUCAAAUUAGUUUAAAUACCAUCAAAUAGGUCCUUGAAUUUUCACAACAGAUAUCACUGUGUUCCUUGGUGCAUACAUUUGCUGAACAAAGUAAAAAGUAAAAGAUAGACACUUUGAUUAUAAAAAGACAGACAUUUUCAUAUCAUCAUAAGUCAUAUAUUUGAUGUUCAUAAGUCAUUACAUAGGCAAAAAAAUAACAUUACAUAGCCAUCAAGUCAUCAAAUCAUUUGAUGUUCUUAAGUGAUUACAUAUCCAAAAAAGCGUAAACUAAACAAGUCCAAAAAGCAUUAAUUAAAUUAGUCCAAAAAAAUAAUUUAAACAUGCAUCAAUGCUUUGGAAAUCCUGGAGUUGGGAUAAACUCCAUGUAUUGGGGUUGAGUAGAAGCGGAUGAUCCGUAAUUUGGAUUUGGAAUUCUAAUAACUCCAAGAGCAGUUGGAUCUAGUGGAGCAGGACCCCUCAGUGGUGUUUGUUUAUGCAUGUCAUUUGAAAUCAUUGGUCCUCUCAUGCCAUAUCUCCUUGUACUCAUUCUAUGCAAAUAAAAUCAAUCAUAUGAGCCCUUAAAUUAUAACAAAAUCCAUCAAAUUAGUCCUCAAAUUAUGACAGUAAGUCUCAAAUCGAUCCAGGACAACAAUAGAGGGGUAUAAUUGGAAACACAGGAAAAAAGAGACUGAAAUGUUAAAUAUCGAAUUUUGACAAUUUCCAUCAAUUUAGUCCUUGUACACGUGGUUGACUUGCUGACGCGUGUGCAUGACAACAAAGCAUGCAAGAAGCCACAUCAUCACUAUUAACGGACCUUUUGGACGGAGGGACAGAUUUGAUGGACGUUUGUAAAAUUCAGGGACUAAUUUAAUAUUUCGCAAAAUUCAGGGACGAAAUUGACCGUUUUUUAAAAUUCAAGGAUGAAUUUGAGGUAUUAGUCCUAUUUACUAAAAAUAAAUGGUCAAUGUCAUUUGUUGAGAGAUAGAUAUAUGGUUCUACCAUUAAAUAAGUUUCACUAUGGCUAAUUAUUUUCAAACUUUUUUGUAUCUUUAUCUCUUCAAAUUGAAGAAAUUGAGAGACUAGUAAAUGAAGAUGAUCUUGACUCCAAUAUGAAAAUGUAAGGUUGCUUUGGAUGAGUCAAGAUCCUCUCCAUUUCUUUCAUUUGGAGAGAUAAAAACACAAAAAAAAAAUUAUUAAUAGUAGUGGGAUACAUUUAGUGGUAGAACCCACUACAUGUUUUUUGUAUCUAUCUAUCACCAAAUAACAUUAUCCAUUUGCUUAGUCAACUCUUCAAAAGUUUAAAAGUGAUUUUUUUCAACUUAAAAUUUACUAUAUUUUUAGUUUCCUUAAACAGUGUUUUGGAACACCGGUUAGUAUUAUGACUCAUAUGAAACAUGUAUCUAAUUAAAUCAUAUCAUGCAGACUUUUUAGGUUUAAAUCAGAAGAAGGUAUUUAGGUUAAAAUUAAAAGUACCAUCUAAAAAAAGCAUAAAUAAUCGUAAAACUUUAGGUUUAAACCAGAAGAAGAUAUUUAGGCUACCAAUAACCCCUACCAGCUGACUAACCCCCUACUAGGUAGUAGGGCUUAACCCAAUGUGACUUGACUAGCCCUCUACUAUGUGACUAACCUCUACUAGCUAACUAACCGCCUACUACAUAGAUAUCCUAACUCAACCGACAACAUUAUUAGACUGGAUUUCGUGGUCAGAGUUCAAAUCCUGAUUGCAAGAGUUUUAUUCUCGACCAAAUCAUAACACUCUUAGUAAGAUUUGCUCAACAAAGCAUUCUAUAUGAGGCUUCUAACAUUAGAUUUGUUGAAGGAACAAGUCCAUUAUUGAAUUAGGCCUUACUUACAUAUCAUUUAGAUUUUUGUGAAGAUAGUAUUAAAACUAAUCUAAGAAUGUCACACUAUGAUGUUAUUUAAUUGCAUGUAUGCAUUAAAAGUUUUACAUAACAAUUGUUAGUGUAUAAAAAUUAAUCUCAUAAUAAAAUUUAAUGUAAUUUAUUUGAAUUUUUUAUUAAUAGAAGAAAAUAUGUUAAAAAUGUAUUUAAAAAUGUGAGCAAUGCUACUACAAAGUUACCAAACCCCCAAUGUCUUUGAAAUCGAAAAUGCAAUCAGAUUAUAAAACAUAGUCACACAACCUGCUAGCACUGUAUUGGAAUUGGAACUAAUUAAUCUUACUUCUAGUCUUUUUGUGAAGGUUGUUUUUUAGGCAAUUGAUUAUUUGAUAUAUAUCAUUUGUUUCAUGACUAUUUUAUAAAAUUUUAAUUAAUUUUUUUGGCAAAUGAAAAAGCCCAUUUUCUCGUGGAUUUUGCUUUUGUUUUUGGCUCCAAGCCAAAGGUAUUGCUUUAAGUUUCAAAUUCAAUCAAAUACUUCAAUCUAAGCUAUUGUAAGAUAUAUUACUAUAUUAGAAAGAAUAUAUACCCCGCAGCCCUAAAGCUAAAAGAUUAGAAAAUUAAAAAACGAAUCUUUGAUCAAGACAGUUUGAAAGUUACUUCUACAUUUAAUUAUUGUUAUGUUUCAACCAAUCCAAAAUGAUACACCAAUUUUGAAAAUGGCUUUUAAAUAGAGGAACAAGUACAUUCAAACAGAUCAACAAUAAUCAACUACCGUAAUCUUCAAUCUACCUUGUAUUUUUGUUUGUGUGAAAACAACUGAUCGGUUUUUAUAUAAAAUUUGCAAACUUCAUAAUGUCGGCAUCUUGUGUUCCCGGAAAAUCACCAAUAUUUGGUGUUAGGAUAGGUCAUGUGAACCGAAGAGUACAACAAGAACUUAAAUAAAUAAACUCUUGAAUAAAAAUGAACCACAAAUUAUCCCGUGAAUUUAAGUCGGUUUAUAUGGACAUUAUAUUUUAUAUACAACGGAUAAGUUAUUGAUUCACUUUAAGACAAUAUAAUUCUAGUUACCGAACAACUUAACAAAAAAAAAGUGAACUACAAACAAUAGAUAAAAUGUAGAACGUUAUACACAUAUUCCUCACAAAUGCCAUUUACAACAUAUCCACAGAAGAAGACAUUGUUGUCAUCUGUUCAUUACCAUUCACCAACCCCCUUCUUCUUCUUCUUUUUUUUUUUUUUUUUUAACUUGCACCAACCGAAAAUCCAAUUCAACUGAAAAUUAUAUUUUUUAAACUCAAACCUAAUGAUCAAACUAUGAGAAACCAUUAAGUCUAAAGCCUUUGCAUGUUGCAAGACUUCUUGGAUGAAAAUUCCUUGGUUUGUGACAAUCUCUGAAACCUCCACUUGUACCUUGCAUUGCCAACUGAUAAAUUGUUGCCUCAUAAAAGUGUGUGAUUUUCUUUUGUUGGGGAUUGAAUUAGAUUCUUGAUUAAAAUUUCAAUCAUCAUCAAGAAUCAGAAAAAGAUAAAAUAAAUCAAGUUUGCUAAUUCCAUAUUAAUUUUUUUUAUAAAACUCAUAACAAACUUUUAUAUCUCCAAUAUAUUAGAUUUCUUGUUUGUUAGGUAAAGAGUGUCGUAUUAUAGCUUGGUGAGAUAAUAUAAUCGAUGAGUUCUGAUACCAUAUUAGAUUUUAAUACCAGUCUCACCUAUCCUUAUAAAACCGGUUUAUAAAGUGAGGAUGUCACUCUUUAUAAACUCUUAUCAAGAAUUAUAUCUUUUUCAUAUGGGAUUUAAGUUUAUUUCAAUGAUUAUUUUUUCCCUUAACUAAUUGUCGAUUUUUCUUAGAUGACUUAAUAACAACUAUGUUCUAUUUCUUUUAAAAAAAAAAAAAAAAACUUUGUUAUAUUUAAUCUCUAGACUGUAAUAUAUACUGAGAGGGGGUCGCCCAAUGUGAUGGUCAUAGUCCACCUUCACAUUCUGAAUUUCAUUUAGUAUUUGUAUAGCCUCAUUCUAUCCAACAAACUCAGAACACUAUCAAUGGACCCAAGUUCAAGUAGCAACGCUAGCUUCUUAUUCUUUGGCUUUUGGAAUGUUCUUCGUAACAUAGAUUUACAACUAUUACUAUCUAUUAAUUUUAAAAAAUGUUCAAUUAAAAGCACAUGCAUGGAGAGAAAAACUGUUUAAUUGGGAAGGUCAGCACUCCUGUUUCUCCAUGUGCAUAUCUUUUGUAGUUUUUCGUUGUACGUAGUACUAUUCUUCAACCUUUAGGCAAUUUUAUUUGUCACUUUUUUUUUUUUUUUUUUUUUUCUACUAUACUAUUAUGAGUGAUGGGGGGAUAGGGAUUACUCACUCGUUCUAUGAUAUUUUUAAUUUUGGCCACCCUUAAUUUAAACUCCUAGUUGUGCUUAUGUUGUUGUAGUCUUAAAACCGUCAAUUCUAUCUUGUUAUAUUAAGAUGUAUUGAACUGAAUUGAUGAAUUGACAUAUUUUAUAUACUUGUGUUAUCUUGCAUGAAGAUGAUGUGAGAGGUUUAUGAAAUGAGAUCGUUAAAGGCAUGUUGGUGCAUAAUGACGUGUUUCAUCUACUCCUAAGAUGGAAUGUUAGGAACAUAUUGAUUCAUGUUGACACUUGAAUAAUUAGAAUACGAGACAAGUAGAAAGCAUGUGAAAAACAUUUAGGAACAUUUUAACGUAUGAAAGCAUAUAGACAUUUAAGCAUGUAACAAGAAUUGAGGUGUAAGACAUAAAAAGCAUGCUAUCAAGUCAGUACAGGUUAUCAUAUAUUAAGACAUACACGCAAAAAGACACAAUGUUAGUUAGAGGCACAUUCACAUUGAAAUGAGUCUAGUAAUAAUUCACAACUCACAUUACUCUUCAAUGGACAGUCGAGAUCAAAGAUCCUAACAUUGACUUUCUCCCCUCGUUGGACUCAAGCCAAUGCUUGUUAAAGUCUCCUGUCAAUGGAGAAUUAAGGACUUAGUAACUAGACCUUUACAUGGACUCAACACAGUUUAUAAUACACAUAUAGUGCAAUGCAUGUUAACACAAUUCACAAGCAAACAAUUCAUAAGCACAAAGUCAUCAUGAUUCAUGAACACAUAAUUUAAGGAUUCACAUACAAAUAUAGUAAAUAAUCCUUAAGUGUGUGUUUGAUUUCACAAUCACAAUGAAGAAUUUGAUUUGAAUAAAUUGGUUAUUGCUAAAAUUACGUUUGCUCACAUCCAUGUAGAGUGAAUUGAACAAUAUAUUUGAGUCAUCUCAGUUGUUACAAUCUAGUGGUUUUAUCUAAAUAUAUUUUAUACGGAAUUUGGAGUUCGAACUCAGGUCACCACACUCAUCCUCCUCAUGUGUGCGUUUAUUUGAAUAUGUGUUUACCACUAUGUCAAUAGCAAAAUAAAAAACAAUAAAUUUGAGUUUAAAAAUCAAUUCAAGAAUCACAAAUUAUUCUAGAUUGUAGUUUUACAUUAAAAUAAAUUUUAGCUUGGAACCACCUUAAAAUUCAUGUUGCCUAACUGAAGGUCACGAGUCUAAUAUGGGGUAGACAAUAAUCUCAGUCAUCCCUAAUUCAAAAGUGACGAGUGCAACGAACCAUUCCGUUUUAGCUAACAUGGGGAUUCUCUUUGUCUUAGAUACACAUGCACAUGUUACGAUAUUUUUUUUUUUUUUUUUUUUUAGUUAUAUUGGUUAUUUAAUGAAUUUGAUUAAGUUGGAUGCUUAUUUGGUUGAAUUUAUUUAAAAAUGAUGUAUUUCCCUUAAAUCUAAAACCCUUCUCUAAACACACCCACUAAAUCCCAACAACCACCACACAGUGAUGCACCUUGUAUUCCGUUUCCCCGCCGUCACCCGCCGCAACAACCACCAUCUCCUCCGCCACUACAAGGCGGCGAAGAAGCCACCACCGUCACCAACGCCAACCCCUCCAAAAGCACCAAAGAAGCCUCAAAAUUUCUCCUUCCAUGGAGUAACAUGGGAGGAUCCUUACAGCUGGAUGUCAAGCCUCAACGACAAAGUAGCGAUGCGGCACAUGGACGUUUACAUGGAGCAAGAAGAGAAGUACACUGAAGCUGUAAUGUCUGAUUCAGAACGCAUUGUUAAUAAGCUUCAUUUUGAAAUGGCCUCGAGAAUACCGAAUGAACUUUCUACUUUUCCUCUUCGUUGGGGACCUUGGUUUGUUCUUCUUCUUCUUCUUCUUAUUUAGAAUUGUUAUUUGUAUAUUGAUAACAAAGUUUGAUAACUUUUUAAGUGGAUAAUGCAGUAAUAUGAACUUAUCAGAAUAGUUUGUGACAUGCCACACUUCUGAUUACAUUCGAUAAUGUCAUCUUCUCAAAUUACUACUGGUGUAGACUUGUAUGUGAGGUGUUCGAUGUUUGUGUUUGUGAUGGUGCUUCGUAGGUGACUUGUUCAUAAGCUGUUUUCAGCUUAUUUUUAUAAGCUCUCCCAGAUAGCUUAUGAAAAUAGCUUAUAGAUUGUACAAAAUAGUUUGACUUUAUUUUAUCUUGUGUUAUAGAAAAUACUUUAUUCAUAAGUGCUUUUUGUGUAAGCUGCAAAAUAAGUUGUUUAUCCAAAUAGGGUCAUAUUUGGUGUCACAACUUAUUGACCAUCUACUGAAUUUUAACGUGAUUAACCUUGAUUUUCAAUAAAAUUACUGUUAUCCAAUAUGGCCGUUGUGUUUUGUAGAACUUGUUAGGAUUUUGUUCAUUUUGUGAUUGUGGUUUUUAUGUUUGUUUAGGUUGUAUUAUCGCCGUGUUGAAGAAGGAAAACCUUAUCCUGUGCUUUGCAGAAGAUUAGCUAGCUUGAAUGAUGAUUUCAUAUCGCAUAAGUAUCCUCCUGCGGGAUUUGAUUUUAGAACAGGGAAGACAAUCGAGCAAAAGCUGGUUGAUUAUAAUCAAGAGGCAGAGAGAUUUGGAGGUACUGCAUUUAUAGAAUGCAAUUUUUACUUGAUUAGAUGGAGUUGUUAGGGGAAUACUGAAAGUUGUUUUAUCUGAACAUUUUGUAGGUUAUUCGUAUGAGGAACUUUCUGAGAUUUCGCCAAAUCAUCAGUUUCUCGCAUAUACUAUGUAUGAUAAAGACAAUGGCUACUUCAAGUUAUCUGUGAGAAAUUUGAAUUCGGGUUCCUUGUGCAGUAAGCCUCAGGCAAAUCGAGUUUCAAAUUUAGCAUGGGCUAAAGAUGGCCAGGCAUUGCUUUAUGUUGUAACAGAUGAGAAAAUGAGGCCAUACCGGUGAGUGGAAGGAAUUAGAGUAUUCUGUUGUUUAGAGAUUUUUACGAUGAAAUGGUAAAAAGACUCGUUCCGUCCAAUACUUCAUAAUUGAAAGGGGAAUAAAGUGGUGUAUUGAAUGUCAUGGAUUCAAAUGGAAUGCAUUCCAUAAAGCUUCAUUAUAUUUCAUUCUAUUUUGAAUAAUUCAAACAGUGGAAUUUAAUAUUACUCCAUUCCAUUUCAUUUUACUCCAAGUUUCCCUUAGUUGUUGUUGUUAAUGAUUAUUAGCUUUUGAAUCCAGGUAAUUUUUCUUUAUCUCAUCCUACCACAUGUUUUGCAGGAUCUAUUUCAGUCUUAUUGGCUCAACUGAUGAAGAUGUUUUGCUGUUGGAAGAAUCAGAUGAAAAUGUUUACAUUAGUUUAAGGCACACAAAAGACUUCAAAUUUUUGACAGUGAAUACACUAUCACCCACAUCAUCAAAGGUAAAAGAUGUAUAUUGUGCAAAUUCCGUCAAGUUAAGAUCCUUCAUAUAUUGUACAAUAAUUUUAACCAUUUUUUAGGUCUUUCUAAUUAAUGCAGCUGAUCCAUUGUCUGGCUUGAAACUUGUUUGGGAGUGUGAUGCUAUAGCUCACUGCGUAAUUGAACAUCACCGAGGUUAUCUUUAUUUAUUUACAGAUGCUCCCAAAGGUGGACAAUCGGUUGAUCAUCAUUAUCUUCUGUGUAGUCCAGAGGACACUCAUUCAAAUCCAAGAAAAUGGGAGGUAGUUUGGAAUAUUACAUUUUUCUACAGUUGUCUUGUUUUAGUUUUAUUAUUACUCUUUUGCAUGAAUGCAAAGCAGGCAUUUACUUGAGAAAGUGAGAGAUAUGUUGAUAUUACAAUUACUUGUUUUCGUGUUUUUUUGGUUCACUUGCCUAGGACAGUCAACUUGACCUUACAUGUUAUAUUACGCCUCAUAAACUGCAGGAGGUAAUUGUUGAUGACCCAGAUUUAGUUAUUGAAGAUGUUGAUUUUAGUGAUAAAUACUUAGCGCUAAUUGUGAGGGAAAAUCGAAAUUUUCAACUUUGUUCAGUUGGACUGCCAUUGCCUUUCGAGAAGGUAAUCGAAGAGAAUUUGCUAUAAUAUGCUCUUACAGCCAAGUUCAUGAUGUAAUUGUGAUUUAUCAUCUAAUUGAAAUAUUGCUAAGUCCACCUCAUUCUUCUGACAGGGGGCAGUUAAAUUGAGGAAGCUUGACCUGCAGUACUUGUCUCUUCCAAAACAUGUUUGCCAAAUUUCACCUGGGCCAAAUUAUGACUUUUUCUCAUCAGUCAUGCGCUUUAUAAUAUCAUCUCCUGUGGUAUGUGAAUGGUUGCUGCUUCUUUUUCUCUUGAGAAUAUGAAAAUGAAAGAAUGUUUUAAGAUAAAUUUGGUUUUGAGUAUUUGUUUGAUUUUAGCUCAAGAAUGAUGUUGCAAGAUGAAUUUCAAAAUAGAACUUUGGUGAACAUUUAGAUAUAGAGGCAAUUUUCUUUAUCAUUAGCUCCAUAUUAGUUGAGUCUCCAAAAAAUACUUUUUUUUUUAACACAUCUCCAAAAAAUACUAAAUUAUGAGUUUUGCCCAUUCCUGACAUACUUUUUUGGGUUUUCCAAGCUUCCUCUGCCUGACUACUUUCCUCCUUUUUAAGUGGUUCUUGCUUUAUAACAAUCUGUAAUGUGUUAAUUGUUACGUAUGUAUAUGCAUAGACAUGUGUAUAUGAUGCUUCCUUUCAAACAUUUGGUCUUUGACAGUUAAUUUUCUAUUCAGUCUCAAUGUGACGAAAUAUCCCAUCAUCAAAUCCCAGUAAGUUCACCAUAACUUUAUUGCAGAUGCCUGAUGCUGUGGUUGAUUAUGACCUAGCAACCUGUAAGUGGAACAUCAUUCAACAGCAAAAUAUGCUUCAUGACAGAACACGCAUAUUAUAUGGUACAAAUUCUUCAAGCGUAAGCUUUGAAUCCUCAGAUGCAAAAUAUUCCAAUCCUGUGAAUGCCGAUUUGGAAGAUGACCACUUAUGGAAUGAUCUGUCUGAGUUUUAUGCCUGUGAACAAUAUGCCGUACCUUCAUUUGAUGGGGUUCUCAUUCCAUUGACUGUUGUUUUUGCACGUGACAAUAAGCAAAAAGAUGAAAAACCUGGAAUAUUGCAUGGGCAUGGAGCUUAUGGUGAGCUACUCGACAAACGGUGGCGCAGUGAAUUUAAAAGCCUUCUGGACCGUGGUUGGGUCAUAGCUUAUGCAGAUGUUAGGUAGGCUUCACAGUAUUUGGUGUCCAUGUACUCGAUGCACAUUCCUAUGGAUAUUUUUUCUUUGUUGUAUUUAUGUAUAUAAUUUCUUAUUUGUUUCUAAGUUGCAACACACUUUCCAAAUAAAUUUGUAACUUUCUAAAGUUUGAUCUCUUAUCUACAAUAUUUUUGGGUGUCCUGAUUCAGGGGUGGUGGUGGUUAUGGCAAGAAAUGGCAUCAUGAUGGGAGACGAACAAAGAAAAAUAAUUCAAUCAAUGACUAUAUCUCCUGUGCCAAGUUCAUCAUAGAAAAAGAUAUUGUAAAUGAAAACAAAUUGGCCGCUUGGGGAUAUAGUGCUGGAGGGCUUUUGGUUGCUGCAGCUAUUAAUCGUUCUCCAGACUUAUUUCGUGCUGCAGUCUUAAAGGUUUCCCAGACCUCGUGCCUGCUUUUGAGAUUUCAUUUCUCAGGCUCUGUUUGAAUGUGUUUACUCAGAUCUCCUUCUUCUGUAUGGUUUUUGCUGCAGGUUCCUUUUUUAGAUGCAACCAACACUCUUUUGCAUCCCAUCUUACCACUUGUAGCAGAUGAUUAUGAAGAGUUUGGCUACCCUGGAGACAUCAAUGAUUUUCUCGCAAUUCAAGGGUAUUCUCCAUAUGACAACGUUCAAAAGGAUGUUCUUUAUCCAGCUGUAUUAGUAUCCUCAUCUUUCACUACACGGUAAGUUUUGAUGUUUUGCCAUUUUAAGUUUUAGAUUAUUCGAAAAACAAUAUCUUGAGACUGAAUUUAGGCAUUUCCUGAGAUUAGAUUCCCUCUAUAAGCCUUUUAUUUCAUAGAAUGUAUACUCUUAAGCCUCUUGACAUGCUAACAAAUACAUGCACCAUAAAGAAAUAUUAAGACAUUUUUGGCAGUCGUUAAAGAAAGAGUAGAGGCUGAAUAUGUGUGGAUUAAGUGAAAAUCACAUUUCCCUCUCCUCCCGUCUGUUAUGAUGUCCGCCAUCCAAGUGUAUUCAAAGCUGCCUUUCAAAGAUUGUUAUCUGUACAUUUGUUGUCUUUACGAGAUUCGGCGAAAAUUAGAUUAACAGGUCAUACUUUACGGAUGGACCUUUGUUUUUGAUUUUUUGCUUUUCGUGACUCAGAUUUGGGGUGUGGGAAGCAGCAAAAUGGGUGGCACGAGUUCGUGAUCUUUCAAUUUAUGACCCAAAACGGCCAAUAUUGCUGAAUUUGACCACAGAUAUAGUAGAGGAAAACCGUUAUUUGCAGUCCAAGGAAUCAGCAUUAGAGGCUGCAUUUCUCAUUAAGACGGUGGAAUCCUAGGUAUGUGAAAUUUAGCUGGCAUUUGUGACUUCUGAGAUGUUUCCCUAUGGCAAUCUGAUGUAAAAAUUUAGAUUCGACUUCUGGAUGAAACAAGAUCCAUUCGAGUGCUCCGCAUGGGAAAUGCUCGCUAUCCGAUAUUCUUCUCCAAUCGGUUGUACUUGUACCCUUGUAGCACUCCAGCCUACUUGGGUCAUGGAUGAUCUCCCUAAAUGGGCACCGUGCUAAAACAACCAACAAGAUUGGUUCAAAUUGCCCUUGCUGGUUUAUCAUGCACAGAUCGGAUCUUGGUUGAUUUCUUCUAUAAGAAUUUGAGGUUCAUCAUAUGUAAAUGUCACUGCCUUGUGGGUUAUGAUAUACAUGUGUAGCUUAUGAUGUAUUUUGUUGAUUAUGAGUCGUUUAGCACGAUGGUUGUUUUCCCCCCCACAUACAUUACAUGAUCUCCAAAUCAUGUAUUUGUUUCAUAAUAAAAUACCAAAUUGUAAUUGCAUAUCUCUUAUUAUUUUCAAACUAUAUACCACUUUUCAAGUGACGUAACAAAUGCCCUCGAAUUAUCUCAUAAAUAAAUCAUCAAGUAACGACUUUCUAUACAUAUCAAGUACCAUUUAGCAUACAAUUGCGUUAUUUGAACAACAAAAGUUAGAUAACUUUUUUCCUUCAAAAAAAAAAAAAGAUUACUUUUGUGACAACAAUCUAAUUGUAUUUCAAAUGGUGGUUAGUUACAAUCAUUAGAUGGUUAGUAAAUAAAUAUUUCAAGUGUUGAAAUCCAUUAAUCAUUAAUUUAACUUAAUUAAUUAUGAAUUUAAAUGUGUUUGACCAUAUUUUUUAGUUUAGCAAUUGAAAAUAAUGGUUUACCAAGUAUAAAUUUAAAUUUGAAGUUGUUAAAGUUACAUUGGUUGUUAAUGAAUACUUUUAACUGAUUUUGAUUUAUGAUAAAUGUUAGUUUAAAUUAGUAUUUACUCCUUUGUUCGAGUUGGAAAUCAAGAAUUCUAACUCUUUUAACCUUAAUUCGACUCAGUUAAACUAUCUAACUAUUAGUUUAUCCAUUGAAGUAAUUAAUCAUCUAUUUUAAACCGUGUUAACCACUUAAAAGUUGUUGCAAAAACUAUCCAAAUAACAUUUCCCUUAUUAUAACUCUUCAUUAUAACGACAAAAGCCAUAAACUUUAGAUAACAAAACCAAAAAUAGGGAGUGGCCCCUCAUGACUCUGGUAGCAACAAAACCCCAACAAACAAACAACAACAGUCUGUAGUACUAAUAUGCAUGUAUUUCUCUCCAUCUACUUUCCCUUUAUCAUUAAAGAAACUAUUUCUUUCAUCCAUUUCUUGCCACACAAAUCAUAAGAUACAUUCUCGUUGCCUUCCUUUUCAUCACGUCCCACAAGUUGGCGUUUAAGUACAUGUCCAAUUCACACCAAUCCAACAUUUUGUUUCUUUCCAAUAACAAAGCAGAGUUUAGUGAUUUGUCAACUGCUGUGGAUGGAAAAGCACCAUUAAAAAAUCCCACCCAACAGUUCCUUUAUGGAACACAACUAAGUGGCUGAUGCCAAACAAUGAUUGUUACCCUUUAUAAGAAAAAUAUAAUCAUUCAUUUCAAUAAAAUGCUCAGCAUUGGUUAAGGUGCCAAUUUGGUAUCACACUACUCUACACACUGCCCUUUCAAGCAGUUCUAUAGUCUGAAGUAGUAUGGUAAUAUAUUUUAAUGUUUUAGUAAAAAAAUAUAUUUAUUUCUAUAUUAUAAAAUUAUUGUUGAUAAUUUACUCUUUAUUUAAUUAAAAUGUGUAAUUGACUAGUAUCUAAUCUAAUUGGGUAACAAGAGAGACAAAACAGGUCAAGUUCUCAAAUUCUAAGUUUCACUAAUAUUUAUGAAUACAAACUAAGUCAACAGAGAAAGCACCCACUGAAUAGUAUCAUAAACUAUAGCAUGAAAAUGAACACUACCUUUUUACAAAAGUUGGUAAUCCUUUAGUAUGUAACAGAGGCAAAAUAUUUAUCAGUAGAAAAUCUACCUGAUUCAAUCUUUGCUUCAAAGUACAUCAUGGCAUCCCAAUAUGAACAACUCUCUAAAGCCAACAUUACAGGCAGCUCAAAAAAAAAUAUAGAUAACAAAGAAAAUAAUCAUUGUAAGCAACAAGAAACAUAAAUUAAUUAACAAAUCCAUCCGUUGAUCUUGUUUGUCUGGCUUUGAUGCAAAGAUAAGUAUAUCUGUUUAUCUAGCAGCAUUGUUCAAAUGAUCACCAAUUCCAUUGGUCCGACAGCUUUUGGCCCUUUUCAGUAACAACUCAUCUUCGGUUUCCAAAAAUUGAAUAAAGUCUCAGCCGACUCUACCAUCUCAUGUCUCAGAGCCUUCUUGAACAGUAGGAAGACUGUCUUCUCCGAUAAAUGCCGGGUUAAGAAAUUUUGCCACAAAUGCCCACAAUUUAUAUACAUCCUCAAAAUUUGUCAGAAAUCCAAGUGAAGCAGUGACAACUUCAAGCCUUACAAAGCUACCUUUUCCAUCACGCCGGCCAUUCUCCAUUGGCUUGCAAAGAGUUGUGUCUUGAAGGUUCAAUGCGCCACGCUGCUGUCUUGAGCUAUCAUAAAUCUGUAUAUGACUAAGAAUACCAAUGCCAAGAGAGAUUCCUUCUUUUUCAGCCAGCUUUUGAACAAUCUCAGGAUUGAUUAGCCCCCUACUUCUGUCCCUGAGGUUGAAAGCCACAGCUGCACCUCUUUCAUAUUUUAUUUUUGGGCCAUAGAUGUGAACAAGGUUUACUUUUUCAUCCCCAUCAGAAACUGAUAACUUCAGUUGCAGUAGUGAAGUAACAAGCCAGUUUAUCAAAAACCGAAGUCUAAGCGUAGUUUUAUUGAGACCAAGCAUAUCAACAUGAUCAAUAUUUCGACAUACUAUCUCAGGUUCCCUCCUGCCCCAAUCCUGUCCAUCACCAUAUUCUCCGUCACUACUGACCUCUUCAUCAUCUAAGCUAGUUGCAGAUAUGUCACCUGUCUCCAAGGUCUCUCUUAGGUGCUCUUUACGAU
rnacentral:lncRNA from 1 species